rnacentral:rRNA from 1 species
CAUUAUCGAAAUUGAAGGGUUGUCUGCUGGCCUUCUUGGCAUGUGCACGCCUCAAAAAUCCACAACACACCUGUGAACCCACUGUAGGUCCCUUUCCGGGGGCCUAUGUACGCAUAUAUACUCUGACCGUAGAAUGUACGUUUUGAACGCAAUGUAAUACAACUUUCAACAACGGAUCUCUUGGCUCUCGCAUCGAUGAAGAACGCAGCGAAAUGCGAUAAGUAAUGUGAAUUGCAGAUUUUCAGUGAAUCAUCGAAUCUUUGAACGCACCUUGCGCUCCUUGGUAUUCCGAGGAGCAUGCCUGUUUGAGUGUCAUUAAACCCCCUCAACCCCGGCGGUCGUCUCUCGGCCGUCGCGGGCUUGGACUUUGGAGCGUGCUGGCGAAGGUCGGCUCCUCUUUAAAUGCAUUGGCGGAACCCUUUUCCCUUCGGCGUGAUAAUUAACCCUGUUGCGCCGUGGUGGGUCGAGUUCGGUCCGACCACAAACCGUCCUCGGACAACGAAACGAAUUUUGACCUCAGAUCAGGUAGGACUACCCGCUGAACUUAA